AACCGUUCCGGUGGCCCAGUGGUUGAAGGCGUCCGCCUCGGAUGGGGAAGGUCGUGGGUUCGAUCCCCGGUCGAGUUA